rnacentral:lncRNA from 1 species
AAAGGUGAAAAGAAGAAGGCAGAUGAUGAGGGACUUCAGGAGCAGAAGAGGAGCAUGAUGGCUCUGGACGCGCAGGCUCAGCCGCUCCGCGGCAUGUGGGAUCCUCCCAGACCGGGGCACGAACCCGCGUCCCCCGCAUCGGCAGGCAGGCUCUCAACCACUGCGCCACCAGGGAAGCCCGAUGCUUUAUCUUAAAGUAAGUACGCAUAAGCUGCAAUAUGCACCUUCAAGAACAUAAUUAGCACUGAAUCAACAUUUGGAUUAAUAUGUAACCAGACAUGUUUGUGGAGUCAGGGACUUCCUGUUAAUUUACAAUUUCCACUAUAAACAGCAGAACAAAUAUAACUAAGAGAUUAGCCCAGGGACCAAGUUAUUUUUUAUAGCAACAUGUCUCAUAUACCCACCAUCUUCAGCUAGGUAAACCACAGGAUCCUCCUUGGAGCUUGGAUAAAGGGGUUCUAUCUCCAGGCCUGUUGGGGUACAUUUGCUCAGGAUUAGAAGGGGUCCAAUCUGGAGAAAAAGAGAAAACAGAGGGACCUUCAAGAUGGCAGAGGAGUAAGAAGUGGAGAUCAUCUUCCUCCCCACAAAUAAAUCUACAUGUGGAACAACUCCUACAGAACACCUACUGAACGCUGGCAGAAGACCUCAGACCUCCCCAAAGGCAAGAAACUCCCCAUGUACCUGAGUAGGGCAAAAGAAUAAGAAAAAACAGAGACAAAAGGAUAGGGACAGGACCUGCACCAGUGGGAGGGAGCUGUGAAGGAGGAAAGGUUUCCACACACUAGGAAGCCCCUUAACUGGCAGAGACUGGGGGUGGUGGUGGGGGAAGCUUCAGAGCCACAGAGGAGAGCACAGCAACAGGGCUGCAGAGGGCAAAGCAGAGAGGUUCCCGCACAGAGGAUUGGUGCCAACCAGCACUCACCAGCCUAAGAGGCUUGUCUGCUCAUCUGCCAGGGCGGGUGGGGGCUUGGAGCUGAGGCUUGGGCUUUGGAGGUUGGAUCCCAGGGAGAGGACUGGGGUUGGCUGCGUGAACACAGCCUGAAGAGGCUAGUGCGUCACAGCUAGCCGGGAGGGAGUCUGGGAAAAGGUCUGGAGCUGCUGAAGAGGCAAGAGACUUUUUCUUGCCUCUUUGAUUCCUGGUGCGUGAGGAGAGGGGAUUCAGAGCGCCGCCUAAAGGAACUCCAGAGACGGGUGCGAGCCGCGGCUAUCAGCGCGGACCCCAGAGACAGGCAUGAGAUGCUAAGGCUGCUGCUGCCGCCACCAAGAAGCCUGUGUGCAAGCACAGGUCACUAUCCAUACCGCCUCUCCUGGGAGCCUGUGCAGCCCGCCACUGCCAGGGUCCCGUGAUCCAGGGACAACUUCCCCGAGAGAACACAUGGCGCACCUCAGCCUCUUAAAACAUCAUGCUGGCCUCUGCCGCCACAGGCUCGCCCCAUAUUCCAAACCCCUCUCUGCCCCCUGGCCUGAGUGAGCCAGAGGCCCCUAAUCAGCUGCUACCUAAACCCUGUCCUGUCUGAGCAGGAACAGAUGCCCUCAGGUGACCUACACACAGAGGUGGGGCCAAAUCCAAAGCUGAACCCCAGGAGCUGUGCUAACAAAGAAGAGAAAGGGAAAUCUCUCCCAGCAGUGGAUAAAAUCUCCACAAUCAACUUGAGGUACCCUGCAUUUGUGGAAUACCUGAAUAGAAAACAAAUCAUCCCAAAAUUGAGGCAGUGACUUUGGGAGCAACUGUCGACUUGGGGUUUGCUUUCUGCAUCUAAUUUGUUUCUGGUUUUAUGUUUAUCUUAGUUUAAUAUUUAGAGCUUAUUGUUGUUGGUAGAUUGUUUAUUGAUUUGGUUGCACUCUUCCUUUUUUAAAAUUUAUAUAGUAUUUUUUCCUUUUCUUCUUUUUGUGACUGUGUAUAUGUAUGCUUCUUUGUGUGAUUUUGUCUGUAUAGCUUUGCUUUUACCAUUUGUCCUAGGGUUGUCUGGUUUUUUUUCUUGGUAGUUUUUAGUGCUUGUUAUCAUUGGUGGAUUUGUUUUUUGGUUUCCUUGCUCCCUUCUUUAUUUUUAUUACUUUUGUUUUUAAUAUUUAUUUUUUAUUUUAGUAACUUUAUUUUGUUUUACUUUCUUUCUUUUUUUUCCCCUCCCUUUCCUCCCUUUUCAUCUGAGCCAAGUGACUGACAGGGUCUUGGUGCUCUGGCUGGGUGUCGGACCUGAGCUGAGUUCAGGAUACUGGUCUACCAGAGACCUCCCUGCACCACAUAAUAUGAAAUGGUGAAAGCUCUCUCAGAGAUCUCCAUCUCAACGCAAAGACCCUGCUCCACUCAACGACCAGCAAGCUACAGUGCUGGACACCCCAUGCCAAACAACUAGCAAGACAGGAACACAAUCCCACCCAUUAGCAGAGAGGCUGCCUAAAAUCAUAGUAAGUUCACAGACACCCUAAAGCACACGACCAGACGUGGUCCUGCCCACCAGACAGGUAAGAUCCAGCCUCAUCCACCAGAAUACAGGCACCAGUCCCCUCCACCAUGAAACCUACACAACCCAACUGAACCAACCUUACCCACUGGGGUUAGAAACCAAAAACAACGGGAACUAGGAACCUGCAGCCUGCGAAAAGAAGACCCCAAACACAGUAAGUUAAGCAAAAUGAGAAGACAGAGAAACACACAGCAGAUGAAGGAGCAAGGCAAAAACCCACCAGACCAAACAAAUGAAGAGGAAAUAGGCAGUUUACCUGAAAAAGAAUUCUGAGUGAUGAUGGUAAAGAUGAUCCGAAAUCUUGGAAAUAGAAUAGACAAAAUGCAAGAAACAUUUAACAAGGACCUAGAAGAACUAAAGAUGAAACAAACAAUGAUGAACAACACAAUAAAUGAUAUUAAAAAUUCUCUAGAAGGAAUCAAUAGCAGAAUAACUGAGGCAGAAGAAUGGAUAAGUGGCCUGGAAGAUAAAACAGUGGAUAUAACUACUGCAGAGCAGAAUAAAGAAAAAAGAAUGAAAAGAAUUGAGGACAGUCUCAGAGACCUCUGGGACAACAUUAAAUGCAUGAACCUUCAAAUUAUAGGGGAUCCCAG